rnacentral:rRNA from 1 species
CCCUUAGAUGUCCUGGGCCGCACGCGCGCUACACUGAGUGUCUGAGAUACGAGUCUGCCUGGACCGGCAAGGUCUAGGUAAUCGCUAAAAGACACAUCAUGCUUGGGAUAGAUUAUUGCAAAUAUUAAUCUUGAACGAGGAAUUCCUAGUAAGCGCAAGUCAACAGCUUGCGUUGAUUACGUCCCUGCCCUUUGUACACACCGCCCGUCGCUACUACUGAUUGGAUGUUUAAGCGAGGUUCUCGAACUGCUAGCGACUUAGCUUCGGUGAGGUCGCAGUGUGGGAAGUGAACCUAGCUUUGGUGUCUAGAGGAAGUAAAAGUCGUAACA